rnacentral:rRNA from 1 species
GAUGAACGCUAGCGGCGGGCCUAAUACAUGCAAGUCGAACGGGAAAGGUGGCAACACCUUGAGAGUGGCGUACGGGUGCGUAACGCGUAUACAACCUGCCUGUUACACGGGGAUAGCCUUGCGAAAGCGAGAUUAAUACCCGAUGGUACUAUUGAGCGGCAUCGCUUGGUAGGUAAAGCUGAGGCGGUAGCAGAGGGGUAUGCGUCCCAUUAGCUAGUUGGUGGUGGAGCGGAUUACCAAGGCUUCGAUGGGUAGGGGUUCUGAGAGGGUGAUCGGCCACAUGGGGACUGAGAUACGGCGCAGACUCCUACGGGAGGCAGCAGUGGGGAAUAUGGCACAAUGGGCGGAAGUCUGAGGCAGCAACGCAGCGUGCGGGAGGAUGGACUGCGGGUUGUAAACCGCUUUCGCCUGUGACGAAGCGUGAGUGACGGUAAUGGGUAAAGAAGCACCGGCUAACUACGUG